rnacentral:rRNA from 1 species
CCCUACGGGGGGCAGCAGUGAGGAAUAUUGGUCAAUGGGCGGGAGCCUGAACCAGCCACUUCUCUUUCUUUCCUCCUUUCCUCUGUAUUGUAAACCUCUUUAGGCGGUGAUCAAUGCCGGGCACGCGUGCCCGGAGGGAGAGUACCCGCAGAAUAAGCAUCGGCUAACUCCGUGCCAGCAGCCGCGGUAAUACGGAGGAUGCGAGCUUUAUCCGGAUUUAUUGGGUUUAAAGUGUGCGUAGGCGGAUUUUUACUUCAGCGGUAACAUGUCCGUGCUCAACCCGGGCCGGCCGUUGAAACUGGGGG